rnacentral:rRNA from 1 species
CAAUAGCGUAUAUUAAAGUUGUUGCAGUUAAAAAGCUCGUAGUUGGAUUUCUGGUGGGAGCGAUCGGUCUGGCGCUUAGCGCGAGUACUUGCAUCGUCUCCGGCCAUCCUUGGGGAGAGUCUGUCUGGCAUUAAGUUGUCGGGCAGAGGAUCCUCAUCGUUUACUGUGAAAAAAUUAGAGUGUUCAAAGCAGGCUUAUGCCGUUGAAUAUAUUAGCAUGGAAUAAUGAGAUAGGACUUUGGUACUAUUUUGUUGGUUUGCGCACCAAAGUAAUGAUUAAUAGGGACAGUUGGGGGUAUUCGUAUUCCGUUGUCAGAGGUGAAAUUCUUGGAUUUACGGAAGACGAACUACUGCGAAAGCAUUUACCAAGGAUGUUUUCAUUAA